GACGAACGCUGGCGGCGUGCUUAACACAUGCAAGUCGAACGGAAAGGCCCUGCUUUUGUGGGGUGCUCGAGUGGCUAACGGGUGAGUAACACGUGAGUAACCUGCCCUUGACUUUGGGAUAACUUCAGGAAACUGGGGCUAAUACCGGAUAGGAGCUCCUGCUGCAUGGUGGGGGUUGGAAAGUUUCGGCGGUUGGGGAAGGACUCGCGGCUUAUCAGCUUGUUGGUGGGGUAGUGGCUUACCAAGGCUUUGACGGGUAGCCGGCCUGAGAGGGUGACCGGCCACAUUGGGACUGAGAUACGGCCCAGACUCCUACGGGAGGCAGCAGUGGGGAAUAUUGCACAAUGGGCGGAAGCCUGAUGCAGCAACGCCGCGUGCGGGAUGACGGCCUUCGGGUUGUAAACCGCUUUCGCCUGUGACGAAGCGUGAGUGACGGUAAUGGGUAAAGAAGCACCGGCUAACUACGUG
rnacentral:rRNA from 1 species